rnacentral:rRNA from 1 species
UCGCCUGUUUUCAAAAACAUGUCUUCUUGAUAAUAAUUUGAAGUCUGACCUGCCCACUGAAUUUUACAUUUAAAGGGCCGCGGUAUUUUGACCGUGCAAAGGUAGCAUAAUCAUUAGUCUUUUAAUUGGAGGCUAGAAUGAAUGGUUGGACGAGGUAUUGACUGUCUCAGUGUAAAUGAGAGUAGAAUUUAACUUUUAAGUCAAAAGGCUUAAAUAAUUUUAAAGGACGAGAAGACCCUAUAGAGCUUUAUAUUAAUACAUUUAUUAUUUAUUUAGUAGAUUUUUUAUAAUAAUUGUAAAAAUAUUUUGUUGGGGUGACGGGAAGAUAUAUAAAACUCUUUUUAGUUUAAUUACAUUGAUUUAUGAAUUGUUGAUCCAUUUUUAGUGAUUAUAAGACUAAGUUACCUUAGGGAUAACAGCGUAAUCUUUUUCGAGAGUUCUUAUCGACAAAAAGGGUUGCGACCUCGAUGUUGGAUUAAGGGUAAUUUUGGGUGUAGAUGUUCAAAGUUUAGGUCUGUUCGACCUUUAAAUCCUUACAUGAUCUGAGUUCAAAACCGGAGA